GCCUACGGGGCGCAGCAGUGGGGAAUAUUGCCCAAUGGGGGAAACCCUGAUGCAGCAACGCCGCGUGAGUGAAGAAGUAUUUCGGUAUGUAAAGCUCUAUCAGCAGGGAAGAAGAUGACGGUACCUGACCAAGAAGCCCCGGCUAACUACGUGCCAGCAGCCGCGGUAAUACGUAGGUGGCAAGCGUUGUCCGGAUUUACUGGGUGUAAAGGGCGUGCAGCCGGAGAGACAAGUCAGAUGUGAAAUCCACGGGCUCAACCCGUGAACUGCAUUUGAAACUGUUUCCCUUGAGUGUCGGAGAGGUA
rnacentral:rRNA from 1 species